rnacentral:rRNA from 1 species
GAUGAACGCUGGCGGCGUGCCUAAUACAUGCAAGUCGAGCGAACAGACGAGGAGCUUGCUCCUCUGACGUUAGCGGCGGACGGGUGAGUAACACGUGGAUAACCUACCUAUAAGACUGGGAUAACUUCGGGAAACCGGAGCUAAUACCGGAUAAUAUAUUGAACCGCAUGGUUCAAUAGUGAAAGACGGUUUUGCUGGCACUUAUAGAUGGAUCCGCGCCGCAUUAGCUAGUUGGUAAGGUAACGGCUUACCAAGGCAACGAUGCGUAGCCGACCUGAGAGGGUGAUCGGCCACACUGGAACUGAGACACGGUCCAGACUCCUACGGGAGGCAGCAGUAGGGAAUCUUCCGCAAUGGGCGAAAGCUUGACGGAGCAACGCCGCGUGAGUGAUGAAGGUCUUCGGAUCGUAAAACUCUGUUAUGAGGGAAGAACAAAUGUGUAAGUAACUAUGCACGUCUUGACGGUACCUAAUCAGAAAGCCACGGCUAACUACGUG